GACAGAGGAUGCAAGCGUUAUCCGGAUUUAUUGGGCGUAAAGCGAGCGCAGACGGUUGAUUAAGUCUGAUGUGAAAGCCCGGAGCUCAACUCCGGAAUGGCAUUGGAAACUGGUUAACUUGAGUGUUGUAGAGGUAAGUGGAACUCCAUGUGUAGCGGUGGAAUGCGUAGAUAUAUGGAAGAACACCAGUGGCGAAGGCGGCUUACUGGACAACAACUGACGUUGAGGCUCGAAAGUGUGGGUAGCAAACAGG
rnacentral:rRNA from 1 species